rnacentral:pre_miRNA from 1 species
GUAUAUUGGCUAUGAUGAUUUGGAGUUAAUAGUGGGCUAUACUAUUAAACUUGCUUAGAGCAAGGUCAAUAGUAUAGCCAACUACUGGCUCCAAAACAUCUAUAGCCA